GUAGGUGGCAAGCGUUGUCCGGAAUUGUUGGGCGUAAAGCGCGCGCAGGCGGUUCUUUAAGUCUGAUGUGAAAGCCCACGGGCUCAACCGUGGAGGGUCAUUGGAAACUGGAGAACUUGAGUACAGAAGAGGAAAGCGGAAUUCCACGUGUAGCGGUGAAAUGCGUAGAGAUGUGGAGGAACACCAGUGGCGAAGGCGGCUUUCUGGUCUGUAACUGACGCUGAGGCGCGAAAGCGUGGGGAGCAAACAGGAUUAGAUACCCUGGUAGUCCACGCCGUAAACGAUGAGUGCUAAGUGUUAGGGGGUUUCCGCCCCUUAGUGCUGCAGCUAGCGCAUUAAGCACUCCGCCUGGGGAGUACGACCGCAAGGUUG
rnacentral:rRNA from 1 species